rfam:Bombyx mori DNA, contig: Bm_scaf50_contig26252, strain: p50T/Dazao, build 2, whole genome shotgun sequence.
UUAACUCAAAUUUGUAUGGAGUUGCAACAUUUGCCUAAGUUUUCCGCUAGGGGCGCUGUUCCAACUGCAUACAAUUUUGAGUUA